rnacentral:tRNA from 1 species
GACCGCGUAGCUCAGUUGGCAGAGCAUUGGGCUAGUUUUCCAGAGGUCGUAGGUUCGAUUCCCACCGUGGCCG